ACAGUCGCCGCGUGGUAACACGGGGAGGAAAGUCCGGGCUACAUAGAGCAAAAUGCCAGUUAACGGCUGGGCAUGGUAACAUGACGGAAAGUGGCGCAGAAAGCAAAACCGCCAACGGCUGAAAUUCAGUGCGGGCAAGGGUGAAAAGGUGUGGUAAGAGCGCACCGCGUUUUUGGUAACAAUAAACGGCAGGCAAAACCCCAUUUGUAGCAAGACCAAACAGAACACAGAGACGUGGCUCGCCGAGUGUUCGGGUAGGUUGCUGGAACUUAUUGGUAACAAUAAGUCUAGAUGAAUGACUGUUCACGACAGAACCCGGCUUAUCGUUUUACCU
rnacentral:RNase_P_RNA from 1 species